AGUAAAAAAUCGUAACAAGGUCUCCGUAGGUGAACCUGCGGAGGGAUCAUUACAAGUGACCCCGGUCUAACCACCGGGAUGUUCAUAACCCUUUGUUGUCCGACUCUGUUGCCUCCGGGGCGACCCUGCCUUCGGGCGGGGGCUCCGGGUGGACACUUCAAACUCUUGCGUAACUUUGCAGUCUGAGUAAACUUAAUUAAUAAAUUAAAACUUUUAACAACGGAUCUCUUGGUUCUGGCAUCGAUGAAGAACGCAGCGAAAUGCGAUAAGUAAUGUGAAUUGCAGAAUUCAGUGAAUCAUCGAAUCUUUGAACGCACAUUGCGCCCCCUGGUAUUCCGGGGGGCAUGCCUGUUCGAGCGUCAUUUCACCACUCAAGCCUCGCUUGGUAUUGGGCAACGCGGUCCGCCGCGUGCCUCAAAUCGACCGGCUGGGUCUUCUGUCCCCUAAGCGUUGUGGAAACUAUUCGCUAAAGGGUGUUCGGGAGGCUACGCCGUAAAACAACCCCAUUUCUAAGGUUGACCUCGGAUCAGGUAGGGAUACCCGCUGAACUUAAGCAUAUCAAUAAGCGGAGGAAAAGAAACCAACAGGGAUUGCUCUAGUAACGGCGAGUGAAGCAGCAAUAGCUCAAAUUUGAAAUCUGGCGUCUUCGACGUCCGAGUUGUAAUUUGUAGAGGAUGCUUCUGAGUAACCACCGACCUAAGUUCCUUGGAACAGGACGUCAUAGAGGGUGAGAAUCCCGUAUGCGGUCGGAAAGGUGCUCUAUACGUAGCUC
rnacentral:rRNA from 1 species